rnacentral:rRNA from 1 species
GAUGAACGCUGGCGGCGUGCCUAAUACAUGCAAGUCGAGCGAAUGGAUUAAGAGCUUGCUCUUAUGAAGUUAGCGGCGGACGGGUGAGUAACACGUGGGUAACCUGCCCAUAAGACUGGGAUAACUCCGGGCAACCGGGGCUAAUACCGGAUAACAUUUUGAACCGCAUGGUUCGAAAUUGAAAGGCGGAUUCGGCUGUCACUUAUGGCUGGACCCGCGUCGCAGUAGCUAGUUGGUGAGGUAACGGCUCACCAAGGCAACGAUGCGUAGCCGACCUGAGAGGGUGAUCGGCCACACUGGGACUGAGACACGGCCCAGACUCCUACGGGAGGCAGCAGUAGGGAAUCUUCCGCAAUGGACGAAAGUCUGACGGAGCAACGCCGCGUGAGUGAUGAAGGCUUUCGGGUCGUAAAACUCUGUUGUUAGGGAAGAACAAGUGCUAGUUGAAUAAGCUGACACCUUGACGGUACCUAACCAGAAAGCCACGGCUAACUACGUGCCAGCCGCCGCCGUAA